UACAGAGGGUGCUAGCGUUGUUCGGAAUCAUUGGGCGUAAAGGGCGUGUAGGCGGUUUGUUAAGUCAUGUGUGAAAUCCCUCGGCUCAACCGGGGAACGACGCAUGAAACUGGCAAGCUAGAGUACCAAAGAGGGGGUGGAAUUCCCGGUGUAGCGGUGAAAUUCGUAGAUAUUCGGAGGAACACCAGAAGCGAAGGCGGCCAACUGGCCCGAUACUGACGCUGAGGCGCGAAAGCGUGGGGAGCAAACAGG
rnacentral:rRNA from 1 species